rnacentral:lncRNA from 1 species
GUGAAGACUGUGUGUGUGCGUGACAGGAGAGUGCAUGUGGUAUGUGUGAGAUAUGUAUGAGGUGUGUAUGAAGACUGUGUGUGUGCGUGACAGGAGAGUGCAUGUGGUGUGUGUGAGAUAUGUAUGAGGUGUGUAUGAAGACUGUGUGUGUGCGUGACAGGAGAGUGCAUGUGGUGUGUGUGAGAUAUGUAUGAGGUGUGUAUGAAGAUUGUGUGUGUGUGUGACAGGAGAGUGCAUGUGGUGUGUGUGAGAUAUGUGUGAGGUGUGUGUGAAGACUGUGUGUGUGCGUGACAGGAGAGUGCAUGUGGUGUGUGUGAGAUAUGUGUGAGGUGUGUAUGAAGAGUGUGUGUGUGAGUGAAAGGAGAGUGCAUGUGGUGUGUGUGAGAUAUGUAUGAGGUGUGUAUGAAGAUUGUGUGUGCGUGACAGGAGAGUGCAUGUGGUGUGUGUGAGAUAUGUGUGAGGUGUGUAUGAAGAUUGUGUGUGUGUGACAGGAGAGUGCAUGUGGUGUGUGUGAGAUAUGUGUGAGGUGUGUGUGAAGACUGUGUGUGUGCGUGACAGGAGAGUGCAUGUGGUGUGUGUGAGAUAUGUGUGAGGUGUGUAUGAAGAGUGUGUGUGAGAAUGAAAGGGUAAUGAACAGAGGUGUGCAUGAGUGUGGGAGUUUGAAAAGAGAAAACUGCAAUAAAAAAAGCAGAGUGCACAAAAGAAUGCAGAGUGUGUUUAUCCUCAAGCUCUGAGAGAGUGAGAGAGAGAGAGACAGAGAGAGAGAGAGAGAGAGAGAGAGAGAGAGAGAGAGAGAGAGAGAAUGACUUUAAGCCUUGAAGUUGCCUGUCAGUUUGUACCCAAAGAGUAGUCUGUGGGUAUGUAUUAUGCGCCUUCCAGAUAACCCUGUUUCCAGGU